AGUGAACGCUGGCGGUAGGCCUAACACAUGCAAGUCGAACGGCAGCACAGUAAGAGCUUGCUCUUACGGGUGGCGAGUGGCGGACGGGUGAGGAAUACAUCGGAAUCUACUUUUUCGUGGGGGAUAACGUAGGGAAACUUACGCUAAUACCGCAUACGACCUACGGGUGAAAGCAGGGGAUCUUCGGACCUUGCGCGAUUGAAUGAGCCGAUGUCGGAUUAGCUAGUUGGCGGGGUAAAGGCCCACCAAGUCGACGAUCCGUAGCUGGUCUGAGAGGAUGGUCAGCCACACUGGAACUGAGACACGGUCCAGACUCCUACGGGAGGCAGCAGUGGGGAAUAUUGGACAAUGGGCGCAAGCCUGAUCCAGCCAUACCGCGUGGGUGAAGAAGGCCUUCGGGUUGUAAAGCCCUUUUGUUGGGAAAGAAAAGCAGCAGGUUAAUACCCCGCUGUUCUGACGGUACCCAAAGAAUAAGCACCGGCUAACUUCGUG
rnacentral:rRNA from 1 species